ACGAACGCUGGCGGCGUGCUUAACACAUGCAAGUCGAACGAGAAUCUACUGAAGGAGGAUUCGUCCAACGGAUGUAGAGGAAAGUGGCGGACGGGUGAGUAACGCGUGAGGAACCUGCCUUGAAGAGGGGGACAACAGUUGGAAACGACUGCUAAUACCGCAUGAAGCAUAGGGGUCGCAUGAUCUUUAUGCCAAAGAUUUAUCGCUUCAAGAUGGCCUCGCGUCUGAUUAGCUAGUUGGCGGGGUAACGGCCCACCAAGGCGACGAUCAGUAGCCGGACUGAGAGGUUGAACGGCCACAUUGGGACUGAGAUACGGCCCAGACUCCUACGGGAGGCAGCAGUGGGGAAUAUUGGGCAAUGGGCGCAAGCCUGACCCAGCAACGCCGCGUGAAGGAAGAAGGCUUUCGGGUUGUAAACUUCUUUUAAGAGGGAAGAGCAGAAGACGGUACCUCUAGAAUAAGCCACGGCUAACUACGUGCCAGCAGCCGCGGUAAUACGUAGGUGGCAAGCGUUGUCCGGAUUUAUUGGGCGUAAAGGGAGCGCAGGCGGUCAGGAAAGUCUGGAGUAAAAGGCUAUGGCUCAACCAUAGUGUGCUCUGGAAACUGUCUGACUUGAGUGCAGAAGGGGAGAGUGGAAUUCCAUGUGUAGCGGUGAAAUGCGUAGAUAUUAGGAGGAACACCAGUGGCGAAGGCGGAUUGCUGGACGAUAACUGACGGUGAGGCGCGAAAGUGUGGGGAGCAAACAGGAUUAGAUACCCUGGUAGUCCACACUGUAAACGAUGAAUACUAGGUGUGCGGGGACUGACCCCCUGCGUGCCGCAGUAAACACAAUAAGUAUUCCACCUGGGGAGUACGAUCGCAAGGUUGAAACUCAAAGGAAUUGACGGGGGCCCGCACAAGCGGUGGAUUAUGUGGUUUAAUUCGAAGCAACGCGAAGAACCUUACCAGGGUUUGACAUCCUGCUAACGAAGUAGAGAUACAUUAGGUGCCCUUCGGGGAAAGCAGAGACAGGUGGUGCAUGGUUGUCGUCAGCUCGUGUCGUGAGAUGUUGGGUUAAGUCCCGCAACGAGCGCAACCCCUAUUGUUAGUUGCUACGCAAGAGCACUCUAGCGAGACUGCCGUUGACAAAACGGAGGAAGGUGGGGACGACGUCAAAUCAUCAUGCCCCUUAUAUCCUGGGCUACACACGUAAUACAAUGGCGGUCAACAGAGGGAAGCAAAGCCGCGAGGCAGAGCAAACCCCCAAAAGCCGUCCCAGUUCGGAUUGUAGGCUGCAACUCGCCUGCAUGAAGUCGGAAUCGCUAGUAAUCGCGGAUCAGCAUGCCGCGGUGAAUACGUUCCCGGGCCUUGUACACACCGCCCGUCACACCAUGAGAGUCGGGAACACCCGAAGUCCGUAGCCUAACCUGAAAAGGAGGGCGCGGCCGAAGGUGGGUUCGAUAAUUGGGGUG
rnacentral:rRNA from 1 species